GGGGGGGUUGUGUUUGUGUCAAUGGAACUUCUUCUCCUUUAUAUUGCUGGUUUACUCAUUCGUUUUCUUUCAUUUAUUAUAUUGGCUGCAAUAUGUCUUAAUCUCAAAUUUUAUUGAUUAACUGAUCCUUUAAUUGUUAUAGGGUGAACUGGAUUGUCCGUUCUACCUGAAAACUGGCAGGUGUGAAUUUGCCUAUUAAUGCAGAAAUUUUUAUUAUAAACUAAUUGAAAUGACCAAAGAGUGCUGUUAUUUAUAUAUUUAUUUACUUUUGCAAUCAGUUGCAAGUAUGGUGCCACUUGUCG
rnacentral:misc_RNA from 1 species